ACUUGGUAGCGAUGGGACGCUGGGUCUUACUCUCUGAAUCUCGAAGAACUGUGGAGUGGAUGUACCUGCCUCAUAAGAUUGUUCAGGGAACUAAAUGGGAAAAAGGACAUGAAGGGGAGAGCAUGCUAUCUGACUCAAAUAAACCAUUAUCAUCAUUGUGACAAUGAUAAUGAUUAAUUGUGUUAAGAAGAUCCAAGAUCCAGGACACAGAACACGUUAGGAACAGCCGAGUCACCCUAACUGCCCACUAGGGCACACAAAUGGAGACUAAAGAGCUGACCGCAGCAGCCUGCUCCUCCAUAUACCAUAUGGAUCAGGAAUGCAGCCCCAAGAUGCACAGAACCCAGGGCUCAUUCCCUCAGGAUACCUUUGUCAAAUCAACCAAAGGCCACUGUCGAGCUGAGGACCAGUUGGAAAACAAAACACAAAAGCCCAUAAAACAUGGUUCUGACUGUCCCAGAACCAGCAGUAUAACUCAAGAAAGACUGGAUGUGGAAUGUCGCCACCUACUUCCACCUUCCCAAGUCUGUCAGGAGAACAGAAACAGCGCCUCCACACACCGCCAGCUCACACAACCCAACCGUUGCGUGUAUUAAGAUUACUUGGUUAAUGUCACAAUAUUUUCUAGGAAGCAAAUCUUCCCGUGUCUUAGAAGACUGAGUAUCUUCUCCGCAGGUGCCUCAUAACAGCAAAUUCUGUGCCGACUGUUGAUCGACAGGACACACGCCGACUAUCAUUGACUCUUCACAAGAACCCAGAGGAUCACAGUGCUCCUUUUACAGUAAGGAAACUGAGGCGCAGGAAAUGACGUGCUGUGCCCUUCGCAGCUGGAUGAAGUCCUGACAGCUUGAGUUCUCCGGCACUGUGCCUAUGACAGGCUGGCACUUUCCAAGCCCUGAAUGAUGAACAGAGCCAUUUGUACUCCAUGGGGCACCCUAUGGCACAUCUGCUGAGCUCUAGUCACCUACCCUAUGGCAAAUCUGCUGAGCUCUAUCUAGUGUGCACCCUGGUGACUCUACAGAGGAUCCAAGCAGGAAAGGGAUUUUUGGUUUUCUUCUUUUGUUUUCUGUUUUUUGGUUGGUUGGUUGGUUUGAUUUGGAUUGGUUUGGUUUGGUUUUGGUUUUUUGUUUGUUUUUCAAGACAGGAUUUUUCUGUGUAGCUUGGCUGUCCUGGAACUCUCCUUGUAAACUAGGCUGGCCUUGUACUCAGAGAUCUGCCUGCCUCUGCCUCCUGAGUGCUGGGAUUAAAAAAUGUGUGCCAAUAUACCCGGCCAGCAUUUUUGUUUUUAGCAAAUUUACAAAUAUCACCAUUAAAGACACUGAAUAACUUCC
rnacentral:lncRNA from 1 species